UGUGCGGUGGGUUGUGGCAGGAUGUGUGUUAGUUAUGGCAGGGUGUGUGAGUUGUGGCAGGGUGUGUGUGUGUGUGUGUGAGUUGUGGCACAGUGGGUGUGUGUGUGUGUGAGUGUGGCAGGUGUGUAGUUGUGGCAGGGUGUGUGUAUGUAUGUGUGUGUGCGAGUUGUGGCAGGGUUUGUGUGUGUGUGUGAGAGAGUUGUGGCAGGGUUUGUGUGUAUGUGUGAGUUGUGGCAGGGUUUGUGUGUGUGUGUGUGUGUUGUGGUGUGUGUGUGUGUGUGUGUGAGUUGUGGCAGGGGUAUGUGUGUGUGUGUGUGUGUGUGAGUUGUGGCAGGGUGUGUGUGUGAGUUGUGGCAGGGUGUGUGUGAGUUGUGGCAGGGUGUGUGUGUGUGUGUGUGUGAGUUGUGGCAGGGUGUGUGUGUGAGUUGUGGCAGGGUGUGGUGUGUGUGUGUGAGUUGUGGCAGGGUGUGUGUGUGAGUUGUGGCAGGGUGUGGGAGAGGUUGGUGCUCUGCAGCCUCGGCUGUGUUUUUCAUUUUUUAUAACCUCGUUCUGUUUCUUUUUUAAUUUUAAACUUUAGUCCAGAUUGUAGCCAACUUUUUUCUAAUGCUGUUUCACAAAGAACGCACCAGCCACCAAAUAAAUCUAGAGUUUAUUAGCA